UGGAGCCAACCACUCAUAUACAGUGAGGGUGAAGAUGAUGCAGAUUGGAAGGAGUUUUUACACAAUUUUAGUAUGAAAAGCAGUGCUGGUAAGGAUAGUGAGGAAGACGAUGAAGAUGAUCAUUAUGACCAGUUGUUGGAGACGGAUGAUGAAGUUGAAGUUGUCAAAGAAGUUAAGGAACCACUGAUUGAUUUUGAGAUUGAAAAGGGUAAAGGGAAGGAA